rnacentral:tRNA from 1 species
GAGAAUAUAGCUUAAAGCUUAGAGCAUUAAACUUUUAAUUUAAGGGGUUUGGGUUGGAAUCCCAAUAUUUUCA